UACGUAGGGGGCAAGCGUUGUCCGGAUUUAUUGGGCGUAAAGAGCGUGUAGGCGGCCUUACAGGUCAGCUGUGAAAACUCGAGGCUCAACCUCGAGACGUCGGUUGAAACCGUAUGGCUAGAGUCCGGAAGAGGAAAGUGGAAUUCCAAGUGUAGCGGUGAAAUGCGUAGAGAUUUGGAGGAACACCAGUGGCGAAGGCGACUUUCUGGUCUGUAACUGACACUGAGGCGCGAAAGCGUGGGGAGCGAACAGG
rnacentral:rRNA from 1 species